CAAGUCGAGCGGUAAGGCCCUUCGGGGUACUCGAGCGGCGAACGGGUGAGUAACACGUGAGCAACCUGCCCCUGGCUCUGGGAUAACCGGUGGAAACCCCGUCUAAUACCGGAUACGACCCCCCACCUCAUGGUGGAGGGUGGAAAGUUUUUCGGUCUGGGAUGGGCUCGCGGCCUAUCAGCUUGUUGGUGGGGUGAUGGCCUACCAAGGCGAUUACGGGUAGCCGGCCUGAGAGGGCGACCGGCCACACUGGGACUGAGACACGGCCCAGACUCCUGCGGGAGGCAGCAGUGGGGAAUAUUGCGCAAUGGGCGAAAGCCUGAUGCAGCGACGCCGCGUGGGGGAUGACGGCCUUCGGGUUGUAAACCUCUUUUACCACCAACGCAAGCUCCCAGUUCUCUGGGGGUUGACGGUAGGUGGGGAAUAACGACCGGCUAACUACGUGCCGACAGCCGCGGUAAUACGUUGUCGUCCGAGCGUUGUCCGGAAUUAUUGGGAGUAAAGAUGUCGUAUGCAGCGUGUCAAGUCUGCUGUGAAACACCGGGCCUUAACUCCUGUUCUGCAGUGAAUACUGGCAUGCUAAAAGUGGGAAUGCUAGACUGGAAUUGCUGGUGUAACAUUGAAAUGCGAACAUAUCAGGAGGAAGACCGGUGGCGGACGCAUAUCUCUGCUCCUUACCUGACGCUGAGGAACGAAACCAUAGUGAGCGAACUGGAUUACCUACCCUGGUAGUCCAUGCCGUAAACGUUGGGCGCUACGCGUGUUGACUUUCCCCGGUUUCCGCGCCUUAGCUCCCGCAUUAGGCACCACGCCUGGAGAGUACAGCCGCAAGGCUAAAACUCAGAGGCAUUGACGGGGGCCCGCAUGGCGGCUAAUCAUGUUGCUUCAUUCAACCCUACGCUGAGAUCACACGAAGGUAUGACAUCACCAGAUGGACUCGCACACAUGUGACGUCAUUAAGUGGGCGUGUGACGUGGUGGAGCAUGGCUGUCGACAUGCUCGUGUCAAUGACAUCUAGGAGUCACAUCCGUCAUCUCGACGCUAGCCAUUGCUCUAUGUGGCAGAUCGUAUAGUGGUGCACGUCGAUGCGACUACUG
rnacentral:rRNA from 1 species